AACGAACGCUGGCGGCAUGCCUAAUACAUGCAAGUCGAACGAGAUCUUCGGAUCUAGUGGCGCACGUGUGCGUAACGCGUGGGAAUCUGCCCUUGGGUUCGGAAUAACUUCUGGAAACGGAAGCUAAUACCGGAUGAUGUCGUACGUCCAAAGAUUUAUCGCGCCAGGAUGAGCCCGCGUAGGAUUAGGUAGUUGGUGAGGUAAAGGCUCACCAAGCCGACGAUCCUUAGCUGGUCUGAGAGGAUGAUCAGCCACACUGGGGAUGAGACACGGCCCAGAAUGCGACGGGAGGCAGCAGUAGGGAAUAUUAGACGAUGGGCGAAAGCCUGAUCAAGCAAUGCGGCGGGAGUGAUGAAGGCCUUAGGGUUGUAAAGCUCUUUUACCCGGGAUGAUAAUGACAGUACCGGGAGAAUAAGCUCCGGCUAACUCCGUG
rnacentral:rRNA from 1 species